rfam:Myotis davidii contig85298, whole genome shotgun sequence.
UGUGGUUCUCAGGUGACACACCCUGGAAUUGGGCUCCCUCCUCUUUGGUUAUGGGUGCAUCACUGGAGAUCCACA